rnacentral:rRNA from 1 species
UACGUAGGUGGCAAGCGUUGUUCGGAAUUAUUGGGCGUAAAGGGUGCGUAGGCGGUCGGGUAAGUCUGACGUGAAAUCUCCGGGCCUAACCCGGAAACUGCGUCGGAUACUAUCCGGCUAGAGGAUUGGAAGGGAGACUGGAAUACUUGGUGUAGCAGUGAAAUGCGUAGAUAUCAAGUGGAACACCAGUGGCGAAGGCGAGUCUCUGGACAAUUCCUGACGCUGAGGCACGAAAGCCAGGGGAGCAAACGGG